ACUGCUUGACUGUUGGUGGGAGUGCAGAUUGGCACAACCACUGUGGAAAUCAUUGUGAACAUUCCUCAAAAAACUAGGCUUGGAGGUCCCAUUCAAUCCAGCUAUUGCCCUUCUAGGUAUUUUCCCAGAAGAAUUGGAACAUCAUACCAUAAGGAUAUAUGUGCACCUAUGUUUAUAGCAGCACAAUUAAAUCUUGGAACAACUCAAGUGGUCAUCAACUAAGGAAUUGUGAAAAAAGAUGUGGUAUUUUUAUACAAUACAUAUUAUUCAGCUAUACAGAAGAAUGAACUUGAGGCUUUUAUGGGUACAUGUAUGCAUCUUGAGACCAUACUUGUAAGUGAACUAAAUCAAACUCACAUGUGUUAAUAUUGUAUUUUCUCCCUAGUGUAAAAAUAAAAGUGAAAGAGUAAUAAGAUCCAAAAUGUACAGCUGAUAUUGUGAAAAUGAAAAGGAAAGACAGUGCUCAAAAGGCAAGCACAAUUUGGAUUGGAGAAAGGAGAAAAGAAGGGAAAAGUAUAUAGGUAUACAUGUAUGUGCAUGUGUGUAUGUGUAUGUAUGCAAGGUGGAUAACUCUAAUACUAAGUUUUAUAAGUUCAUCCAAAAGAAUUUUUUUUUUUUGGUCUUUUUCGUUUUUAUCGGUAUCAGGGAUUGAACUCACAACUGCCUGCUUGCAAGGCAGGCGCUUAUGCCGCUGAGCUAAAUCCCCAGCCCCCCAAAAGAAGUUUUUGCUUUCAUUGGUUACUUGAUCAUUUUUUAUGUAUAAAUCUUGUUAUCUGAACAAUUACUUCUAAGAUAACAACAUGAAAUAUAUUGACUAGUUUUAAUUUCCUACUACUUUUUUGAAAUUCUGUAAAAUUUCUUUUAAAAAUUAAAAAAACUUUAAAAAAAUAAAGAAAACGAAGGCUCAGUGUGGUAGUGCACGCCUGUAAUCCUAAGACUUGGGAGGUUGAGAUGGGAGAGUUGCUGUGAGUUCAGCACCAGCCUGGGUUACAUAGUGAGUUCAAGGUCAGCAUAAACCAUAUAUUGAGACUCUAAGACAAACAAACAAACAAAACAAAACAAAAACAAAGAAAAAGUAAAUGAGAAAACACAGAAGCAAUGUAAAGCAUGAAGUUUUCCCAAAGCAAGCCCAUAUAUUUAUUGUUUUGUUUUUAAAAUAAAAAAUUAAAACAAAUAGUUUUUAUUUUGUUUUUUGUGUAGAGUCUUGUAAGUUUUUGUGGUAGGUAGGUUUGUCACUGUAUCAGGAUCUCUUUUGCAAGGUUUGUUCUUUAAAAAAGUCUUCUGGGUGUAGAAGGUUCUUGGGUUGUGCCUGUCCCAAGAUCUUACUUUUCCAAUUAAUUAAGAGUGAGAUGUUGGUAUCUGUUUGGAUCAGUCCCUAACCAAUUCGUUGGUGCUGGGGUGUCGUGAGGGUAUUAUCCCAGAACUUCUCAGUAAUUUUGCAGAUUAAACUGAUUAAAACAAAUAUGACAUCCUAGUUGAAGUUGUAUAAUUAGCAAUAACCAUAUUAUCAAACAUGGUUUAGAAACUGACAAACUUUGAUAUUUAUUAAUUUUAUACCUUUAACUAUAGAAGCAAAAUGUAUAGUUAUAUGACAGAGCUGAUCAUAAAUUGGGAGCUUGUAUGCAAAGUACUCUUGAUUACUCCUUACCCUGUUUCUCCUGGUUGCUGUGUUUUUUUUUUUUUUUUUUUUUUCAGAGACAGGGGGUGUUGCUGGUCCAGUGUGCCUUGCUCAGCUUUCUGGGUUCCUUUUCCACUGGCAAGUCUCUGUUUUCUCAGGUCAUUUGAUGCAGGGUGGAGUAGGACCCUGUGAUGUGCAGGGUGGAGUAGGACCCUGUGAUGUGGUCUGAUCCUUUGCUACCGCUGUUGCAUUCCAAGGUUGUUCAGUCCCAAUUCUUAUUCCUCUCCCAAGGUGAUAACUUCCCAGUUUUUGCUUUAUAAGUUCUGCUGCCACCAUCACCCGCCUCUGCUGUAGUCUGUAACUUCCUUGGGCAAGAUGAGGUAAGGGUGCUGCGGGGUGCCUCUCUGUUCCUGCCCCUGGAAGCAUGGGAACAGCCUUGGGCUGCACAGUCCAGAGGUACAUGGCUGUUUAAUUCUCCAUGCUUCUCUAACCACAGUUCACAGCAGAGCAUUUAAGUGUGCCAUUUACUAUACACCCUGUCGUCUUUAAUCUUGUUAUUGGCAGGUCCAGUUAGGGCUCUGGUACAAGAAGGAAGAGAACAAGAGAAAAAGAAAAAGAAAAGAAAUUAAAAGUAAAAUUAAAAAGAGAUAGAAGUACCAAAUCACUUAUAGCAAACCUAUUUAAAAAUAUUAAAUUCCUCAAUAGAAAUCCUGAAGGCCAGGAUUGCUUACAAUAAUACAUUUGAAGCCCCUAAGGAAACUAAUUGGCAAUGUGUAUUAGAUUAUUAUAUCCUGUGAGGCUAUUCUUCAAAAUUGAAGGAGAAAAUAAAAACCUUUCAACAUAAAAAUAAACUAAUUAAAUCUGUGACUAAUAAGACAGCAUCACAGAAAGUAGCUAAGGGAAUCUUAAGCAUAAAAGAAUAGAACUAUCACAACCCUGGGAGGAAAGGAAAGAAUAAAUCCCAUUUGGACAGAAGGUAAACUGGUGAAAAUCAAGGAUGAAUCAUGGUGUACCCAUGAUGGAUAUAGACAACACGACUGACUAGAGGAGUGAGGUAGAGGUACACAGAAAUGAUUCACUGAAAAUGCAGGUACUCUGAAGUGGGGAAGGAACUCAUACCAUGAAACAGAAAAUUAAUCAGAAGGAUGAUACACACAGAUCAAAGCAAAUAUCUGGAUCAUCAGAAAGAGAAUCAGCACCGUAGUGGCUCAUCUGCACCACCUCAGCCGCUGUGGCCCCAGGGAGGAUCCUUCAAGGGAACAUCCCAAAUAGCCCGAGGGAAUGAAGCCCUGCUGAAGUGAGACUCCAGGGACAACCUCUGCAAAUUCUCAUCACUACCCCUCCAAACAUGAGGACAUACUGCAUCUGGGAGCGUGCUCACCAGCACCCACCAUGAGGAGAGAAACCCCAGCCUCACACACUGGGCAGAGACAAGAUGAGCAAAUGGUGCCCACAGACUCCUGCCAGUGUGCACCAGGCAAAUCCUGCUAACUUCUGCCCUCACACCUCCACUGACUCCUGCAGGUGCAUACCCACAUCUACCUAUUCCUAACAUGGCUAGACAAGAAGGGGAUUAUGUGGACACUCAGACUUUAUGGCUUUGCAGUCACAAGGAAUUUUAUGCACAUGCUCCUGUUGGAAGGUUUGAUCUGGGUUCUUGCUGGAUUUUUUGGUUACUUUUCCUUUUGCUCCCCCACCCCUCUUAGGUUUAGUUUGUGUUCAUUUCUUCUCUUCUGCCUAUGCUGCUUCUUCUACUCUAGCUUCCAUGCAGUACUAUUUUCUUAUUUUAUACUAGUUUCUCCUACUUUUAAAAAUUCUAUAUUUCAAAACUUUCCCCCUAUAUCAUGCUUUCUGUUACUUUUAUCUGCUCUCAUAUUUACCUUUGUCUUCUUUACUGCAUUCCUUUUUUCUUCUGUAUUCUACCUAGCAUACUGCCUUUCCAUGUUUUCCUCCACUUUACAGGUGCACAAAUAUAUCAUACGUGCAUGCCUAUAUUUAUAGCACAUGACUCAUGAUAGCUGUACUACAGAAUCAGUGAAUAUGCGCAUCAACAGAUGAAUAGAUAAAGAAAAUGUGGCAUGCAUUCCUUCCAAUGUAGUACUACUCACCCAUAAAGAAGGAUCAGUUUGAAUAAUUUGUAGGCAAAUGUUUGGAGUGCACAUGAGACCAUAAUACUAAGUGAACUAAACCUGACAUAGAAGGUUAAAUAUUUCUUUUUUCUCUAAUAUGAAAGACUCAAGUAUAUGAAUAAUUUAAAAGCAAAAUAAAAGACAGAUGGUAGGAGAGAAGAAGGUAGAUUCUGUGGAGGUGGGAAAGAAAUAUGGAUAAGGAAAUAGAGGAGAGGACUGGAGAAAGCAGCAAAAAUGUUCAAAUGGGGUAUAUAAAUGUAUCAAAUACAAACCAAGAUGUGUGUAAGCAUAAUUAAUUUUUAAAAAUACAUUUGCUUGAUGUUUCUCCUGUUCUUUUAGUUAUUCCUUAGGUGAAGUGUGAGAAGAGGCUGAAGAAGUGAGAUCAGGCACACUUGUGGGGCUGGAGCAAGGCUGGUCCUGAGUACUCAUGAGGCGAACCAUGUGAAUAAGCUGCUCCAGUCCAGAGAAUACCAAGUGCCUGAGGCAAUUCAAGAGAAAAAACCCAGAAAAAACAAAAAUAAAUGAACAACAACAAAAACCUAAAAAAACCUAAAUAAACGGAAGAAAUAUACAAGAAGAAAAAGAAGAAGAAGAACAACAACAACAACAACUUCCACGACCAAAAAACCCUUCAAACGGUAGCAAAUAUAGGAUUUCAAGACAAGAUAAUAGGAAUUUAACAGUGGUUGUUAUAUUGCAUAUUGUUAUCUUUGGAAGAGUUAUUUAGAUUACCAGAUAUACAGAUGUUAGCUAAGAAUAUUGUGUGUGUGUUACAUAUUUUUUCCCCUUUCCUCCUUUUUUCCUUUCCCAGUUGUUCUUCCCCUUUCAGCAGAUUUUUUCCCUUUCACAGUAUCUAUUUUGCCUUUUGGAUCUUACUUACUCAUUUGGUUUCUUACACUAGAGAUACAAUGUGGUGUUUACACAUGCAAGUCUGAUUUAUUUCACUUAUGAGUAUAGUCUCUAAUUGCACUAAUUCACCUAUAAAAGCCUCAAGUUUAUCUUUCUUUGUAACAGAUUAGUGCUCUAUUAUAUAAAAAUAUCACUUUUUAAAUUGUUAUCUUCAAAACAGCUGUCCCUACUAUCAGACAUAAUAGAAUCUAAUAAAAUAUAACAGAAUAAAACCAAACCAAACCAAACAAUUGAAACAAUACGGGACUUAAAAACAAGGUAAUAGGAAAUUAACAAUGGCUACCACCUUCCCUUUUUAGACAUUUCCUCCCCUUUCACCUUCACCAUAUCUAUUGUACAUUAUGGAUCCCACUCACUUCUUCAGUUUUUUCUCUGUAAUUUUAAAGGGAAUAAAACAGAGCAAUAAAAUAAAUUGAAACAGUGAUAAGAUGGUAGGAAAUCUACAAAUCUACAAUAGUUACUAUAUUGCAUAUUGUUGUCCUCUAAAUAUUCUUCAACUUUAGUCUUGCAAAGUCAAUCAAACAAUACAGUUUCUCUGAAUCAGCUGGCUGCUCACGGGGAAGGGGUUGUUCUCAUCUCCCUAGGCUGCAUGCCACCCACUUCACAAGCAGGCACUGUGUUCUCCCCAGUCAGUACUUGGAAUGGGUCCCAGCAGAGAGUUUAGCUUCCAUCUUGGCUCUCCCUGACUCAUGCUCCAAAUGACUCACAGGCAGGGGCUUAGGUUCCUUUCUUGCUCUCCCUGAUCAGUACUCCAAAUGGUUCACAGGAAGUGACUUAGCUUCCAUUUUCAUAAUAUCACUUCUUUUUUAUGUGUUCCUCAGUUGAUGGGCAUUUAGGUUGUUUCCAAGACCUGGCUAUUACAAAUUGUGCUGCUACAAACAUGGGUGCACAUAUAUUGUAUAUUCUGCUUUUAAUCUUCCUUGUUCUUAGAAUUUAUUCUUCUAUUUUAGAGAACAUGAAUUCAUAUCAGACAUCUAGGAGGUUGGGAGCUUCUCUUCUAGGCUGUUUCAGGCCCUUGUCUGUUUGGGAAAGGGGAAAUCGACCCUGAGAUGAUGUCCUGCAUUCAUCCCAGCUGAGUCACUGCUGUUGGCACCAAACUGAGGGCAUCAGUCUGCUAGGGCUUCCUAUUUGAGUAUAGAUUCUAUAGCUGUGAUAGCUCGAAUCCUGGAAUAAAAUCCAAGGAAGCAAGAAAUUAAGAAAUUUGGAGCAAAGGCUUUAUUUUAGGCCAGGCCUGGCAACGCAGCCUCCAGUAGCCAAUAUGAAAGACUGCACACCUAACAGCUAAAGGGCAGGGUUUUUAUCUUGUAAAACCGCAAACAGCUGCUGUUCUUACAAUGCAAGGAGUGGGGUGGGUUUGUGGUGUACUACAGAACAGGAACAUGAUGAUUACAUUUCUUCGGAAGAGCAAGGUUCAGGUAAGGGUUGGGCUAACAAGCAAGUUUAGAUUAGGCAAACACCCUCUGGGGGAAGGCACAUCCUGCACAAGCAAGUUACCCUGCAAACAAGCAAGUUUCCCUGCAAACAAGCAAGUUUAGAUUAGGAAGACAUCCUGUUCUGCUCUUAGAGUUACCUUUGAUCUUUUUCUUGCCUCUGAGGAGACUUAUGAGGGGUUUUUUAUGGAUAGGUUAUAACAUAGCCACAGAUGAAGUCAAGAGGAAGGGAAAGUUCCAUACGUAACUCUGUUAGUUGUUCCCUUUUCUGUGCAGAAAUUUUGAAAUUUGGUGUAGCAUCCUUUGUUGUUAUUAUUUCUGGUGCAGUUGGAGUCCUAUUCAGGAAGCCCUUCCCUGUGCCUAUGAAUGCAAGCACCGUUUUCUAUUGGGCAGUGUGUCUCCAUUUGUGUGAGUACCGUGCUGGUUUUGUUGUUAUGCUCUCUACUAUUUUUCUGUAUUCAAUUGUGAGCUUUGCUCUUUCCCUUUGCUUGUUUUAGAUUCAGUGUUCUUUAACUUGCAAGUGAAAGGAUCAUUUUAAUUUUUAUUUUGUUGAACCACGUGUACAACAUUUGAAUUCUCACAGUUCUUUCAAAGCAAUGAAGAAAAUGUCAGCUCAACAUAAGUUUAUUAGGUAGUGUUUCAAAGGAGUUCUCUUUUAUUCAUUAGUGGCUAAAUUUGCAGCUCAAACAUUAACUUUGGGACUUACUUCAAGGUAACUCAAUGAGUGUAAGGGACAAAUGAACUGAUUAAACAAGAAAAAAUUUGAAGAUUGCUUAAAUUGGAGGAUAAAUACAUGAGAUUUCAUGGGACAAUUGUCUAAUGUUUAAAUGUGGCUGAAGUUUUCAAAAUAAUUUUAUUCUCCUUCACUCUGUAGCUUGAAUUUUAAAAAGACAUUUCAUGAUUUCUCAUCACUGGACAUUAUACUGAACAAAAUUUUGGAGACAUUCAAUCCUGGUCAUGAAUACAAGCUCCCUGUCAUUGAUUUUGUGAUACCCAGGUGCCGGUGAUGCAAUCUGGGAAGAGUGCAUGUGGAAGAGUCGCUCAGAGGAGAAUUGAAGGAUUUUACAAACAGAGCCAAAGGUCACCUUUCUCUUCUCGUUCAUAUAAAGACACAUCAUCCCAGCUAUUGCCAUCUGACUGUCACACUGCCACUAUGUAGACCUCAGGGUCCUUCUGGGGGCUUUGCUGGUCAGCCUGAGUAUAAUGAUCUUGAUACCUGUUUGCUGGCAGAAGAAACUCUGUGGGAGACUUCGUUGUGGAUCCAUCCCACCACCCUUUAUCAGGAACUAUCUGCUACUGAACCCAGAGUCUGUGAAUACAGUUAUCAUGAAGGUGUCACAGGCAGGGGGAAUGUAUGGAAUGGAAUGUUAGGCAUGGGAGUGCAAGGCUGUAUGUUUUUCUGAGGCUUUUUUUGGCAUGAGAUUAACCAUGAGGUCCAUGGACUUCUUUGCUUGAGGUAAGGGCAGUUUUGAAGUUUCAGCAGCAAGGACUUAGUCUGGAAAGUUCCAAACUAGAGAUAUUACUUCUCUUGAUUGUCAGAGCACGGGAGAAAAUACAUUCCUGUUCCUUCCUCCUGAGUACUAUGGAAUUCAGCUAAAGAGCCUCUACCCUCCUCCUUGAGGUCUGCAGAUGUUGUGACCUUGAGUUCACCAUCCACCUGGGCACUAGCAGGUCCUAGUUCCAGAGGAUAUGAGGCAGUGAAGGAGGCUUUUCUGGAUCAGGUUGAGGAUUUCAGUGGAUGAGUUGAACAGGCCACCUUAAACUGACUCUUCGAUGAGUAUGGUGAGAAAAAUACCAAGUGUGGAAAUGGGGCCAGGUAGGUUUUAUGGGUUGGUUUUUCCUGCCUUCCCUCCUGCCUCACCUGCCCUCUGCUUUCCUUGGAUUUAUCCAUCUCUUAGAAACUCUUGAGAUUCCUCUUUCAACAUCCUGCUGCUCUAACAUUUUUUUUUAACCAACUUCAGUUUCCUUGCUUCCCCAUGAUUCAUUUCUUGCCACGCAUUUUCUCCUUCUUCUGUCAGCAUCUCAUACCAUCGGUGCCUCCAAGUCACAUUGUCCUCAAACUCAAUGUGUCCUCUUUCAAUACUCUCUAUGAUUCUCUUUCCUGUUUUCUGUCUUGGCUUAAAGUCUGUGAUAAAGUUUCUGAUACUAGGAAGAACCAAUUAAAUUCAACCGAAAGAUUGUAUAAACAUGUAUAAAAACCAUAUAGUCUUCCUAAUGUAAGAAAUGGUAAGAGUACACAAGAUUUUAUGGUAAUCAUGAUUCCCCAUUACAUUGCUUUGAAGCCUUAUAAUGUUUUCUUUCAUUACUUGAAAUGGUUUUAUUCUGGUUUGAUUUUAUUAUCUGUGAUGGUAUGAACAGCUAUUUUGAAGAAAACAAGACAUUAUGAUAGCCAUUGAUGAUUUAAUAUCAUCUUGCUUUGAAGUCUUACCAUGCUUUUGUUCUUCUGUUUCCACUGGUUCUAUCAUGUAUCUUAUUGAAUUUUAUUAUGUGUGAUAGUAUAAACAAAUUUUUUAUGGAAAAUGAGAUAAUAUAGUAGCCAUUAUUCAUUUUCUGUUAUUUGCUUCUGAAUGCCCUGUAAUACUUUCAUUCUCUUGAAUGGCUUUAUACUAUUUUGUUAUAUUUGUUACUGUUGUAUGUGAAGGUAUGCUCAACUAUUUCAAAGAAAGAGACAUUAUGACAGCUAUUGUUAAUAUUGGGUUGUCUUGUGGUGAAGUACUGUGUUGCUUACAUUGUUCCGUUCUGACCUG